GCCAGGCAUGGUGGCGCAUGCCUAUUGUCCCAGCUACUCUGGAGGCUGAGGCAGGAGGAUGAAUUGAGCCCAGGAGUUCAAGGCUGCAGUGAGCUAUGAUUGUGCCACUGUACUCUAGCCUGAGCAACAGAGCAAGAGCCUGUCUCUA
rfam:Nomascus leucogenys chromosome 21, whole genome shotgun sequence.